GUGAAAAGCUAUGCUAGAAUUCUCUUCAAUGUUCUUUUUGCAUAAAAUCAUUGGGAGACAUAAACUGGAGAUUCACUUUAUUAGACCAAGAAAAGUCAGAGAAAAAAAUACAAGGAAAAUGAGACUAUACAUACUGAAUAAAAAAGUAUUAUGUGACAUUGUUAUGAUAAAAUGAAAUACCAUCCUUCAGUUGGAUAUCUGCUCUUCUAUAUCCGAAAGCAAAAUCACAUCAAAAUACUUCUGCAGAGAUUGACUUGUAAUGCAAUACACGGCAGCAUCUUUGAACCUUAAGCAAUGAUAAUGCUUUCAAACCUGCUAUAAACUGGGUCAACUGUAUGAAGAAAUUGUAAAAAAUGAUGCAGUAAUUCAAUUUAGCACUGUGUGAAAACUGCACAAUAGCAGGAUUAAAGGGUCUGAAAAUGAAGACAAGUUGUUCAUUAUUAACUCCUUAUAUGUUGUUCCUUCUGCUUUUUCUAGAAUGUCAUUUAUUCCCAGCUUAGAAUUGUAAUUUCUGUGUCAUGAUAGAGUGAAUACAUUCUGUAUUGCCUCUCUGUAUGAGUACAUUGACGUUCCCUCAAAGGCUUAAUAAAGUUUAUUAAAUAAGUCAGCAUUCUCUAUUAAUUUUAUCCACAUAGGUAACAAAAUAGAUUAGGGAAAAAAAAUUAUACAAUCAUGUAAAAGCUGUGGCUUGUGUAAAACACAGUCACCUUAAAAAUAAAAAUAGGGGAAAAAAUGUAGCAGCUGUAUAAAUAGGCAAACCACAAGGAAAAAAAAUGUAAUGCUAUAACUGUGAAUGAAAAGUGCUUGUAUGCAAAGGAGAUGCCCUUGUUUCUCCCCUGUAGAAUCCAAUCAUUUAAACAGCUGGCCUAUUUUCUUACAUGGUGAUUUUAUAAACGUAACUUCUUUAUGUGAAUAAUGGGGUCUUUUCCUGGGCUACUUUGUGUUGUAUGUGCAUGUGAAAAUGUUUUGGAUUAUCAUGUAUAACUGCCAUGGCCAUUCUUUCAGCAGGAAGCCCACCUCUGGUAUCACAAUAGCACUCCAUGCUGAUCAUCACCAGAGCCCAGUGUUCAAUUCAGAGGCAAUGUCAAAAAGAGCAACAGAAGAGAAAGAGAAGAGAGAAGAAACUAGCCUGGAUUGAUUUAAAGAGCAGGUAAGCCAAAAGAUUAGUAAAUAAAUAAAUAAAUCUGCUCCAGGGGAGCGAUUGUACUUUUGUGCAUGAAUCUAUAAAAAAACCUCCUCUGAAUUCUCUACUUUGAAACCUUAGGUAUGUUCUGUUAAAUUCAUUCUGGACCUCCAAAAAGAAAGUUGAUAAUAGAUAGAAGUGUAGUCUUCUGCUAUGGAAAACAGCCUUGUUUUUCCAAACUGUAGUAUUUUGAUCCCAUUCUUUUUAUGUAAUUUAAUCAUAUUCUUAAUUGGCAGAGGAUUGAUUCAAAAUUCUACUUGGUACUUAGCAUUUAUCCUAACAAAUGUCUGCUCACUCAGAUCAGCCCAAGGCUUUCUGGCCAGAAGCAGCUCGGCUGCAGCAACAUUUCCUGGGUGCAAUUUCAAGAGGGAGCAUCGAGACACGGCCGGCUGAAAGGCAGUCUUAGUCCUCCCUUUAGGUGUAGUCACGGCAUUUUUCACAUCUAGAACUAAAAUUGUUUGGCCCUCCUGGCAAUUGAUAUGGGUGACAAAUCGUAACAAUCCAAACUAAAGUAACGACGUGAGUGAUGAUCAGCACAGAUAUUAUUACCGAUCAAGCAGUCUCUAGCUUAAACUUAGUGACGCAGCUGCAACUUAACACUAGGUGUUUUAAAGAAUGUGCACAGUGUUAAGCCAACAUUAGAUGAAAGAGAGUAGCUGAGCAGAUAGAAAAGCAUUCAUACAAAGAGACCUCACUCAAAAGCAUAGAUGGAUAUCAUAAGCAGAAAGUAUUUAAAAUAUACAUGACAGAACAGUUUGUUUGGAGAAAUAAUGAGACAAAAGGGAUACAAUCUUCUAACUGUAAAAUAUCAUUAAACAAUUAGGGCUAUCACCAUCUGUGGGCCAAAACUUAAGUUCCUUUCCUUCAGAAGUGAUCAUUCAUUAUGACUGUAGGUUUACUUUUAUCUCUAAGAACAAGGAAGGGUAUCUAAGUUAGAGCCAAAACGUAUUUUUUCUGAUGAGUCUAAUGAUAAUAAUGCAGAUCAGUUUAGUGAGAUAAGUUUAUAAACCCCUCAUCGUUCUCUCAGGUUAUGCAGUUUUCUCUGCCUGAAUGGCAGCAAUGAUUCAACCUCUAUGUUUUCUUAUAGUCGCUCUCGUGUUUAAGUUAGUGGAAUUUGCAACUACAGGCUUCAUGCUCUGGAAGAAUGCCAUUUAUACGGAGGGAGAAAUCAAUGAUCCUGCUGCACUCAGAUUGUUGAUAUGUUACAUAUUUUCCAAAUGCACAACUGAACUUCUGGAUUUCCCAUAAUAUGAUAUUAUCUGUGUGGUAACUUUCAAGUUAUCCUGAAAGAAGUUUCACAUUAACAGAAUUCAACUGUUUUUGUUCUUAUGAAAAUCAGCUAAAUUCAUGAAACUGAGAUGAUUAACUAAAGCUUACGAUGUCGACCAGAGUAUUAGAUUUCCAUCAUGAUCAUGCAACAGAACCAAUUUGUAGAUUUCAGAGUCACAGUGUGAAAAGGGUAUGUGUGUUGUUAGGUACUGUUGCAGAGAGCAGUUCUGCAUUGACUGGAGCAGUGUGGGGAUUAAUCCAUGACAUGAUAAGCAAAAGAUUUACAUACUUGGAGUGAAAUUCACAUGGCACUUGCAAAACAAAAAUGGCAGAAAUAUACUCCCACUUUCUAUAGUUUCUUAAAUGCAUUAAUUUACUUCCUGAUCUUGACCACUGUGCUUGCAAAAGCAAUACGUAGUCUGCAUUAAUGCAUAUGUUGUUGUAUAUUAAUGAUCAUUAUACACAGCAAAGUAUGCAUACAAAAGUAACAAAAGGCAUUUCAGGAAUAUGAUCCUUUAUCUGAUGAUGUCAAACCAGCAAUUUUUAUUUCUCUCUAAAUUAUUUGAAUUGGUCCAGAUCAGGAAAAAAAACGAUGCAUGGUCUAUCUCUGAGUGAAGUAACAUGAGUCAAUUCGGUUACACAAUUUGUGCUUGUCCACAUUUUUGGAAAGUGAUUGGCAGCUGCUUUUGGUAGGUGUAAAUGAAAGGACAGAAGAGCUGUUUUCUGUGGAAAAAAACUUGUAUUUUAUAUGGGCUCAAUAGCAAAGAAACAGGUUUUUAGAAAUGACAUUUUUGUAGUAUCACCCAAUAAGUACCUGUAUAUGGAUAUCACUGAUAUAACCAGCCUAAGAAAUCAUCAUUUGGAUGAAUCAUUUGGCCAAGUGCUAACGUGAAUAGAAAAGAUAGUCUACUGUCUUGGAGUGAAAUGGAAUAGACAUAAUCACAGUGUAGGUGAGAGAUGGCAGCAAACCAUUAACGUACAGAGGAUUAAAGCGUGAGGUGGCAAAGAAUAAAUGUGGACUACAGAAUUUGUUUGGUAAGCUAGACAUGCAAUUAGAGGAAGCAGAAAUUUAAGAGUCAAUGAAACCUAAAGAGAAAGCAAGCCUGUCUGCUGUGAUAAGUUAGUCAUUUAGAACUACAACAGGUGUUACUACAGUAAUUAGAAUAUACUGAGUUAUCUGAUUGGAAUUUUUGCAUGAUGAGAGCAUUGCCAACUGCUUUUGAUAUUGGCUGAUGGCAACAGUAACAGGCCAAAAACACCUGCUCUGAAAUCUUUUGACCAGCAAGAGAGGAAGAUGCUUUUCAGUGGCUUUAUUUUUCAGCACUUCCCCUUUUUGUUGUAGCCUCCUAAGUCUUUCAUAAACAAAUUAACAGUAAUGAUAUUUUAAAGGGUGAGUUACUUGAGAUCUCUUAAGAAGAGGUACCAUAACUAAAUUCUGUUUUUCAUUUAUGAACUUCCCUCUAUGAUUAUACUUGCAAACAAGUUUUGGGUUUACUUUCUAAGUCUUUAAAGCUAUAUUAUUACAUUCUGAUGUUUGUCAUAAGCACUAGCAAAGCUUUUUUCUGUCCUGUCUCUCUCUACUGGAGUUUCAGCUUGCUUGAAAUGAAAAAGAUGAUUUGCUGUAGAUCAAUAUUCCCUUAAGAUGUAAACACAUCAGCUAUUAGAAGUGAAGCAAGAGCAAGAGUAGUGGCCAGUACUCUAAUGUUAGAUCUCUAUGGAUAUCUCAGGGGCGGCAGCAACUGUAAUGAGGAAUCAAUAACUUGAACAAAUCUCUCUUAGGCCUGAAGGAACCUCUUAGAGUAUGUUUGUGUCUUUGUAUAACUGGAGCUGGCUUGCUGUAAAUGAGAUGCAAAAUGGAGGAAUUCAGGAAAUUCAUACGGCAGUUUCAGUGCUGCACAGGACUGCAAGUUUGAUCCCAGAGGCACCUUGAAGAAGCUUUUCUGUUGUGAAACCCAUCUUUCAGAAGCGCAUUAUGAAGUUAAGUCACUCACCAAGAGCUGAAACCUAGGAGCUGUCAAGGGCUUUCUAUUUUAAAUGACAUUUAUCUUCAUCUUGGAAAGGUAUCACCACGUUCCUUUUAUUUAUCUAUGUGAAGAGAGGCAAUAAUUUUUUUCUUGUCCAACCUGUGGAUUUAGUAAGUUCAUUACCUAUUUUUUUCUUUGUUUUUUAUGCUUCUUCUUUGAAACUGCUGUUUCAUACAUUGCAGAAGGUGGGGGGAGGUUGUAGAAGUACAGAAGGUGGUUGAACAAAUGACUUUUUCAUUUAUUCCUUAGUGAGAUAUCAUUUGAAUGCUUUGGAAUUGCGUAAGUUUUCUUGAAUUCUGAAGUCUUCCUGUAUGGCUUGUUGCAGUUUGCCCACAGUGGCCAAGGAGGACAAUAUAAAUAGAGAGCUUCCUUCUAGUGGGACCUGAUGAUCUCACCACUGUUUUCUAUUUUACAUGUUAAAUUCAAGAUACAGCAAAAUAGUUCAGUGUACCAGAUAACAGUUUUAGCCCAAAUGUGUGAUAUUUUCAUCUUUAGUAGCAAUCAGUCCUUUCUCAAGUCAUUCAUUUGAUAUUCAAAUUAAAAGGGGGAUUUAUUCUUAAAUUCCUACCUGCACUCCUGAAUGAAAUAUAUCAGAAUCCACAAUCCAUGGGAUUUAACUGGACUGCCAUGCUGUAGUGGAAACGCUAAGUCAUGGCCUGAACCAGUAAUUGAGCACCUGGUGGGAAGGCAGGACCAACUCAGGGGAGCUCAGGUGCGUGCGAUGCAUCUGAGUGACUGGAAGGGGUGGAGCCAGGAUCCAGACCUCAUUUAAGGGUUGGCAGUGGAGGUGAGAGUAUCUCACUGGAGUUCCAUACCUGCCUGAGGCCUUUCAAAGGUAAGCGGAUUUGUUCUUCUGUUUCGGUAUCCAUAGCUGCUGUGUUUGGGCUUGUUGUUGUUUGCUGUAGCUGAAGACUUUGGCACUCUGCUAUUAUUGCUAUACUUUCUGUCAUAUUAUUGCAUUGCACAUACUGUGCUUAAUCUAAUAGUUUUUUUACUUCGGUCUUUUCUUCUACAAUAGCCAAAUAUCAGUUUAGCAGGAGCUGAACGUUCCCCUUCUGAUAAGUCUUCCUGGGUAGGCAGCAGUACAGUGGGCUGACAGGCAGAACUUGUACCAGUGCUAAGUUUGGGAACUGCUGCAGGUCCUUUAUCUCAUGCUAGGGAGUGGAAAUGGGAAUGCAGGAAGCUCUGGCCAGCUUGAAUGGAAGCUCU
ensembl:lncRNA